CUUUUGCCGCAAGAACUUUUACGCCCUCAGCGUCAUGGUGGUAUGUGACCAACCCUGCCGAUGACUGCCCUCGCACUCGGGGCCCGUGCACGACGCCUUUAUGUGGAAGACAUCCACCGUGAGCCAGGACUGGGCAGUGGACGCCGUGGCCAGGUGAUAGUGCAUACUCGCUUCAACCUUGGCUGCUUAACCCCAUCCCUGGAGCACAUCCUGCAGAAUCCUCUGCUGCCCGAUUCCACCGCACCCACUCUUCACUGCGGUGCGUCGUAUAACUGUGCACUGG